CAUCUAUUAGCAUACAAAUGUGUGCAAAUUAUCUUUUCAGAUCUUCUCAGAAAUGAAUCAAGUCCAUGGAAUGGAUAUAGACAAAAAUAUAAUUCAAGGACUAUCAGAGGUAGAGAGGCGAGGCAGGGGACUGGAGACCACAGCAGCGAUUCUGCUCUUGCCCUACCUCUUCAAUGAGGACCCGAGUGGCCUUUAUGUCCGUGACAAGAUUUCACCGCUCUUCACUCCUUUACUGCACAUCGGUGGAAAUCCAUUUCACCAUGAGAGUGAAAUCCCGCUGGCCUUUGAUGGGGAGAACAUCCAGGCCCUCGAGGACGUCCCCCAUGGGACUUGGAGCUCUGCUACGGCUGGAUGUUUUAUUUUAUGUUAAAUUUCCCCAAAAUGUCAGAAGAACACUUAUGUUGUUAAGUUACUGUGUUCUGGGGAUAAGAGAAUUUGGGGUGAAGUUAACAGGGCCGGUCAUAAAGAUGGAAAACUUCCUAACAUAACUAAGUGGAUACGAUAUACACACUAAAGCUGAAAAAUCUGUUUUUAG
rnacentral:lncRNA from 1 species